UGUGGGGGGUUCCUGGGGCGGGGCUCGCGUCAGAAAGCCGGCGGUGUCCCGCGGUGCAGACCAAACGCACACAACCCGGGCGUGGUCCGGGCGGGCUCCCUCCACGGGCUCCCGGGAGGCCCUCCUGCCUCUGCCUCCUCCGGGGCUCCAGGCGGCCCCAGCGCCCCCGUCUGUGCCUCUGUCUCCACGCGGCUCCUGCUCCGUCUGUGCCUUUUCCUCUGUACCUCGUGAGGCCACGGUCGCUGGGUUCCAGGAGUUCGUGGCCACCCCGAGUCCACGGCCGGCUGUGGAACCAAGCAGUGGCCGUCAGCCACCCGGGCCAGACGCCGGUGUCCCCUCCGCCCACCCAGGUUCCAGGACGACCAGCCGUACGCGCCGUGCACCCGCUACCUGGUCCGGUGCGGCCUCACGGCCGGGUGCCUCGUGGAAGGGGGCGACCGGGUCUUGGACUUCUGCCUCCACAACGGGUCGCGCCGUGUUCUCGCCAUGCAGCGCUGGGUCUCCGAUUACCUGAAGCCCAGGGCCCCGCGAGACCUGCGGUUCCUGUGGGGACAGGACGCUGUCACCGUGACGUGCCCCGGCCUGCCCUACAGUGGGCUGCUCUACGAGGUGCAGCACAGGACGCCUUACGACGGCGGGUGGCAGUCCAGGGUGGCGGAGCUGUGCAACGUGACCAUCGAGGGCCUGGACCUGGGGCACUGCCACUCCUUCCGGGCCAGGGUGCUGACCCAGGCGUCCUCCUACGGCUCCGAAGCAUCCCCCAGCGACUGGUCUCCGGUCACCCACUGGCAGGGAGCUGCGCCCCGAGAUUCCUGCCUGCAGUGGCCCCCGCUGCCCAAAUGGCCCCGGUUCUUCCUGGUGUGCAGCCUGGUGUCGCUCCUGACCGUGGCCCUGCUGCUCCUGGCUGUGUGCAAGGCGCAGAGGGUGAAGAGGGUGCUGAUGCCCAGCGUGCCGGACCCCAAGGGCUCCUUUCCCGGGCUGUUCGAACACCACCAGGGGGACUUCCAGGAGUGGAUCACCGACACCCAGGACGUGGCCCCAUGGAAGAAGCCGCCGAGCGGGGAGCAGGACCCUGGGUCUGAGCAGACGCUGGAGGUCCAUGUGUCCAGGGUGGACGCGGAGCUGCCCCUGGUGACGAGGCCCCUGUCCCCACACACAAGGGAGGAAGAGGCCUCCGUGGGCUCCGCGCAGCACCCUCCCCGAGACCCCCAGGGUGGCACCGUGGUCUCUCUUGCGGGCUUCACGUUCAUGAUGACGGACAACGCCUACAUGAAGCUGUGAACUGCGAUCCUCCGGCCUCGGCCUCCUGAGCGGCUGGGGUGACAGGCAGGCACCACCACACCUCACUCUCUUGUUCACUUUCCUUCUGCAGUCCGUGGCAUUGUACCCAGGGGGCAGCAUGGUGGGGAAAGCGCUCUACCCCUGAGCUUCGCCCUGAGCUCUUUGAUCCUCUUUGCUUCUAUUUGGAGACCAGCUCUCUGGCUAAGUGGCCCAGGCUCACCUUAAACUUGAGACCCUCCUGACUCAGUCUCCCGCAGUGGCUGCACCACAGACGGGCACCGGUCGCUCCUUCCCCUGUGAUGUGACCCCCAGCCCCGGGUGUGGCCCCGCAGGAAGGACGAGGCAGGCUGCUCUCUCCGGAAGCAGCGAGUCAGCGAUGCUCUCUCCCCUCCCGGGGCCCUGCAGUGUGCAUGUCUCUGUGCGCCUGCAGGCUCAUGCGUGUGUCGGCGGGUGUAUGCAGCUGUGCAUUUGUGUACACACGUGUCUGUCUGUGGCGUGAUGAGUGCCUGUGUGUGGGGGGGAGAUGCACGAACGCCUGGAGGUGAGGCCAUAGCCGUGUCUGUGUGCGUGCAUCUGCAUCUGGGUGUAAGUGUGUGCACGUGUGUACAUACAUGUAAGCACACAAUAACCGAAACGCAUAGCUGAUAGGUGUUCUGCAUGGUUUUAAUUUACCCUGGAGCUUUUGCUGACCUCACCGCAGUGCCUGUCUACGUUAUUUGCCCUGGGUCCGCACACGAGAAGUCGUGGCUGCACCUCAGGCCUGCGCAGUGGUCCAGCCAGACGGAGUCGACGUCGUCUUCGUGUCUUAGCCCCCGGGUGGUGGCCUGACUGGAAGCAGGGCCCUGCAGAGGGAAUCGGAGGAGGAUCUGGGGACACGGCCGUCCUGCCUCAGCCUCCCGAGUGCUGGGCCCACAGGCGCCACACUUCACCAGAGGCUUUGACCCCCGCCCCGCUGUGCCUUUCUGCUGUCGGUCUCUGUCACUUCCUUCCUAAGCCUUUCGGGUCCUUUCACGUCUCUGUCUCCGGUCCCUGCCCCUCUGGGAGGGCUCCUUGUUGUAGGGGGACCCUGUCUCCGUGACACUCAACCCGCCGGCCACUCUGCCUCCACCGGAGCCCCGACGGCCCCUCCCUGCCUCCUGAUUAACGAACUCGUCAGUUAAUUGAGAGGGACUGGGGGUGGAACCCAGGGCCUUCGCUCCGAGCUCCGUCUCCAGCCCUAUUUAGGUUUUCUUUUGAGCCUGGUCUCCCUGAGUCACUCAGUGGCCCAGGCUGGAGAUUCUCCUGCCUCAGCCUCCUGAGCACUGGGAUCAAAGGCAUGCGCCAACCUCGUCUUGGGAUCUCAAGGCUGGAGCCUGCGGGUCAACACUGAGCCCCUCACAGGGCCAAGUGGCGCAGCCGGGUGACAGCAACGGCUGCUCUCAGUGUUCAUGCUGUGGUUUCCUGUCCCCUGCCCGGGGCCGGGACAAAGCCCUUUGUGCUCGCUCUGCACAACGCACCUGGGGUGCUGAGGAGAACCGCAUCAUCCUCAGCCCUCGGACCGCAGUCGGACUCGGGGUGGGCUAAGUGUGUGACCCCAGCACUCCAGGAGGCUGAGGCAGGAGGAUUUCGAGUUCCAGCCCAGCCCGGGCGGCUUAGCAGCUCAGCGAGACCCCGACUCAAAAUAAAAAAUAAAAGCAGGCUGGGGAUGGGGCUCCGAGGGAAGGCCCCAGGGUCAAUCCCCAGCGCUGCAAGAAUAAAUACACACAAGAUAUUCUUUAAAAGGCUGCGGUGGCGCACGCCCAUCACUCCAGCACUCUGGGAGGCUGAGGUAGGAGAGUCUCCAGUUCCCGCCCAGCCUGCACAAUUUACGGUCUCAGCGAGACCCUAUCUCAAAAUCCACGGUGGAGAGAGGAAGGGAGGCAGGAAAGAAAUCAGGCCCGAGUACCAGUUGUCACACCCGAUGUUUGGUCUGGCUUGGGAGGGGCUGCCUCAGUUUCCCCAAGUUUCUCGGCCUUCCCCAGGGGCUCCGGCUGCAGAUGCUGUAAAAGUUCCCAAUCGGACAUCCCCUGCGGGUCCUCAAAACGAGCCCCCUCUUGCCCUGCUGUCCCGAAGGCAGACGAGACAAGCCGGGGCACUGAGGGUAAUAAACUGACUUCCAGAGCCUGGGCAGGGAUCAGCUCGCUGGCACGCAGCAAUGGGCUCGGCUCCACCCCGAGUGUGAAGGUCCGAAUGG
rnacentral:lncRNA from 1 species